AAGCUAGCCGCCAUAGCUUGUGUGAGUGUGAGCUGGUAAUUCAGGUUUGUGAAAUGUUAAGUUGUGGAUGGCAAGAGUGUCUAUCCGAGUAGGAUAUGCUUGGCAAAGAAGACGAUGAAGCCUCUAACUGUAAAAAAGGGAUAAAAUGUAAAUUUAAAUAUUUAUAAACUGAUAACUUUCUAAAGGAGACAGACUUCUUUUGCUGAAAUACAUGGGAAAAAAUCCCAGAAAUUCCCUGGUUGAAGGAAGUGCAUCCAAAGCGAUUUGCCAUUGUAAAGUGGGUCUUACCACUACCCCUUUGAUGGUUCAGUGCCAUUGAUGUUUUCUUC